rnacentral:lncRNA from 1 species
GCAAAGUGCCCAAGAUGCAGUUGGCGUGAGGAAUGUGGUAGAUAACUCUGGUUCCUUGGCUCAGGCUCCUGAAGGAUUUUUAGAAUACGGACCACCUGGUUUCAGGGAGUAUGGCCCACCGAAAGAAGAUAUCGUUCCCUUGUCUGCAGCAGGAGAGGACAGACAAUCAGCAAAUCAAAUUGAGAGCAACGAAACAAGAAGAAGACGUUUUUCACCAAAAUUAAGG